rnacentral:tRNA from 1 species
GGGCUCGUAGAUCAGUGGUAGAUCAUCCCCUGGCACGGGGAAGGCCCGGGGUUCAAAUCCCCGCGAGUCCA